GCCCAGUGAUGAGGUCAUGGCAAGUAUGAGCCAAUCGGGCCAAGAGUUUGUGCUCUCCAGCCUCCUGAUUGGUGGGUAAUCUUGGCAGGGUGAUGAAGGUUUGCUGCUCUGCUGUAAGGGUCCACCUAUAGUUACCUGGCAGUCCCCCUCAAACCUGCCUUCCUUUAAGUCAUGGGUUAAAGGCAAGAAGGAGACUGCAGACAUGGUGUGUGUGUGUUUGUUUUGUGUGUUUGAGUGUUAUGUAUCAGUUGGCUUGGAGGCACAACUCUUUGUUGAGGGCCUUGAGGGCUGUGAGUAUUCUCUUUGGUAAUCUGAGGGCA